CUGAAACACAAAUUCAGUUGAGCAAUAAUCAAUGGCAGCAAAUUUUGGAUCCCUUCCAUUUUACUCUUUGACUCAAUUGAGUAUUUGAAGAGGGAAAGUAUUAGGGAAAUUGGAAGGAUGUCUCAGCAAAACAGCAAUAACAGUAGCAAUAAUAUACCCGUCAGCGAAGUUUAUUGGACUCUGGUUGCCAAAGCUGACAAGAAGUUCUCAAAAAUUCGAGAUUUGCCCUACUACCAACGUAACAGGUAUGAUACAUACUUCUACAAGGUUUUCAAG
rnacentral:misc_RNA from 1 species